CUUCCAGACUCCUACGGGAGGCAGCAGUGGGGAAUCUUCCGCAAUGGGCGAAAGCCUGACGGAGCAACGCCGCGUGAGUGAUGACGGCCUUCGGGUUGUAAAGCUCUGUUAAUCGGGACGAAAGGCCUUCUUGCGAAUAGUGAGAAGGAUUGACGGUACCGGAAUAGAAAGCCACGGCUAACUACGUGCCAGCAGCCGCGGUAAUACGUAGGUGGCAAGCGUUGUCCGGAAUUAUUGGGCGUAAAGCGCGCGCAGGCGGAUCGGUCAGUCUGUCUUAAAAGUUCGGGGCUUAACCCCGUGAUGGGAUGGAAACUGCCAAUCUAGAGUAUCGGAGAGGAAAGUGGAAUUCCUAGUGUAGCGGUGAAAUGCGUAGAUAUUAGGAAGAACACCAGUGGCGAAGGCGACUUUCUGGACGAAAACUGACGCUGAGGCGCGAAAGCCAGGGGAGCGAACGGGAUUAGAUACCCCGGUAGUCCUGGCCGUAAACGAUGGGUACUAGGUGUAGGAGGUAUCGACCCCUUCUGUGCCGGAGUUAACGCAAUAAGUACCCCGCCUGGGGAGUACGACCGCAAGGUUGAAACUCAAAGGAAUUGACGGGGGCCCGCACAAG
rnacentral:rRNA from 1 species